GCACCGUUGGUUUAAUGGCAAAAUUCGACGUUGCCAUCGUCGAGCUCCGAGUUCGAUUCUCGGACGGUGCA
rfam:Fistulifera solaris DNA, contig: scaffold00005, strain: JPCC DA0580.